UACGUAGGUGACAAGCGUUGUUCGGAAUUACUGGGCGUAAAGGGCUCGUAGGCGGCCAACUAAGUCAGACGUGAAAUCCCUCGGCUUAACCGGGGAACUGCGUCUGAUACUGGAUGGCUUGAGAUUGGGAGAGGGAUGCGGAAUUCCAGGUGUAGCGGUGAAAUGCGUAGAUAUCUGGAGGAACACCGGUGGCGAAGGCGGCAUCCUGGACCGGCAUUGACGCUGAGGCGCGAAAGCCAGGGGAGCAAACGGG
rnacentral:rRNA from 1 species